GGUUCUAUAGUUAAUAGAUAAUAUUAAAUUGCAAAUUUAAAGUAAUGAUAUAGUCAUUAGGACCU
rnacentral:tRNA from 1 species